AGCAGCCGCGGUAAUUCCAGCUCCAAUAGCGUAUAUUAAAGUUGUUGCAGUUAAAAAGCUCGUAGUUGAAUUUCGGGAUUAAUUUAUUGGUCGUGCUAUUGUACGUACUGGUAUUAUUGAUUCCUACCUUCUGACGAACCAUGAUGUCAUUAAUUUGGUGUCAUGGGGAAUCAGGACUGUUACUUUGAAAAAAUUAGAGUGUUUAAAGCAGGCUCACGCUUGAAUACAUUAGCAUGGAAUAACGAAAUAGGACGUUUGAUUCUAUUUUGUUGGUUUCUAGGAUCGACGUAAUGAUUAAUAGGGAUAGUUGGGGGCAUUAGUAUUCAAUUGUCAGAGGUGAAAUUCUUGGAUUUAUUGAAGACUAACUACUGCGAAAGCAUUUGCCAAGGAUGUUUUCAUUAAUCAAGAACGAAAGUUAGGGGAUCGAAGACGAUCAGAUACCGUCGUAGU
rnacentral:rRNA from 1 species